GAACUGGACCUCAGCUAUAAUAACCUGGGAGACAGAGGAGUGGAGCUGCUCUGUGUUGGACUAACCAGUCCACUCUGCAACAUACAGACACUUGUACUGGAUGGCUGUAAGCUCACAUAUAAAUCCUGUGAGACUCUGACCUCAGCUCUGCAGACACCAAACUCCCCCCUGAGAGAACUGGACCUCAGCAACAAUGACCUGGGAGACAGAGGAGUGGAGCUGCUCUGUGUUGGACUAACCAGUCCACUCUGCAACAUACAGACACUUGUACUAGCUGGCUGUAAACUCACAUAUGAAUCGUGUGAGACUCUGCAGACACCAAACUCCCCCCUGAGAGAACUGGACCUCAGCUGCAAUGACCUGGGAGACAGAGGAGUGGAGCUGCUCUGUGUUGGACUAACCAGUCCACUCUGCAACAUACA